CGAAGGGAGUGCAUGCAAUUGAAAUAUUAACAGUGAAAAAGAAAAUACUUUUAUUAUUGCGCCCGCUUAGUGAUCAGUACAUUUUGAUGCACAUUCUUCUAUAAUUGUACUUGGGCAUUUAUCUAGUUUAUUUUUCUUAUUUUUCUUAUUUUACUAUUUUAUUAUGUUUUUAGAUUUAAGUUCAUGUUUGCCUUUAAUCUAUUUUCGUUUGCUAUUUUCAGUUUUAGCGGUUAUUUGAUACUUGUC
rnacentral:lncRNA from 1 species